AGCCCUACACACCUGGUUGCCUUUAAUUGGUUGAUAUCUUAUCUGCAAUAAGAAUGGAGGAAACAGAGAUAACGCACAUGGCCUCGUGAUCAAGUUCAACGAAUGAGUGAAUGCCACAGACAAGUGAGCCUUCAACCCUCUCCACAAGGCAGCUCAGAAGGCUGAUGAUAUGUGCCCUGUUUAUGGACACUAUGCCCCCAGAUGCAGAGAAGAGGGAUCACCAGCUCAGCUCAUCAAACUGUCCAAUUUCUACAGGGGACAACAGACUAGAUUGAGGUCUUCACGGUCCAAAAAGCCUGGUAAAUGACCUGAUAAAUCCUACCCCCGCAAACCUAUGUGAACUUUUUAAGUUUGCGGCAUAUUUCAGAGAUAAAAUAACCAACAUUAGGCGGGUUAACAGUCAAGCAAGACCUGAUGUGAAGUUUGAUAUGUGCCCUAGCCGAUAAGUGGUUGACACGAACAUGCUCAGGAAAUUGAUAUCACAACUUGAGCUUUCGAACUGCCUUCUCAAUCCUAUCCCCACCACCUUCUUCAAAACGGUUUUUAAUUGCAUACCUGAAGAAGUGCAAGCUAUUGUUAAUCACUCCCUUGUUAAUCACUUCCUAAAAACUGCUAUGGUGAAACCCCUCUGAAGAAAAGAAACCUAGAUUCUUCAGCUCUUGUCAAUUUUCAGCCAAUCUACAUCCUUACAUUCUUAAGCAAAAUUCUGGAGAAUUUUGUUUAUGAACAGCAAAAUUA